AUCCUGAGUUUCAUGGGUUUUUCACACUCUUGUUCCAAUACACUUAAGCUCUUCUUUUUGGUUAUUUGUUGGAUGAAUCUCGGCUCUUAAAAGAUGUUAAAGAUAAUUAUUAGUCCUUAUAACUUCUCAAUGUCAUGCAUUACUGUGCAAGGUUCUUCCAUUUCCACUUUUGUGGUUAUGCUUUACUUUCAUUUUUGUUUGAUAUGGC
rnacentral:lncRNA from 1 species